rnacentral:rRNA from 1 species
AUUGAACGCUGGCGGCAGGCCUAACACAUGCAAGUCGAGCGCGAAAGUUCUUCGGAAUGAGUAAAGCGGCGGACGGGUGAGUAAUACAUGGGAAUCUGCCUGGUAGUGGGGGACAACGUUUCGAAAGGAACGCUAAUACCGCAUACGCCCUACGGGGAAAAGGGGGGAUCUUCGGACCUCUCGCUAUCAGAUGAGCCCAU